GGCUCGGUGGCUCAAUGGUAGAGCAUCUGACUCCAGUUCAGAAGGUUGCGUGUUCAAAUCACGUCAGGGUCA